AAUAAUUUAAAAGUCCAGUCCAUUUACAUUUAUUAAUCCAACAAUAAACCCAAAUCCUUAACAAAGCUAACAGCCUAUUACAGUGGCCCAAAUUACAGACCGAAACUUCAGUUUCAAGAACUGAAACCCUAGGAAAGUUUGCGCCGCAGCCUCGCAUGGAAUCAGUUCCCCACGCGCCAUUGCUUCACGCUCCACGUCGACAUGCCCAUGGACGGCCUCACCACGUCUGCAGCACCACACCGUAUACACUUGCAACAAACGAAAAUCACAACAGCAAAUGGCAGCAAAGAUAACCGAAUAACAGCAAUCGAAUAGAGGAGAAAAAAGGAAAAUUUUUAAAUAUUAUAUUUCAUUUUUGGCUAUAAAAAGCCAUUGUAAAUACUGAUUUUGGGGAUCACGAAAUAUUGAAAAAAGAAAAAUAGCAAUGAAAAACUAAGGUAAUUCCAGAUUUCAUUUUCUGGUGUUUCGAUUGAUUUUUUUUCCCUUUAUUUCUCCAUAAAAUUCUUUCACAUGAGAAUAAAAAAGAAAAUAAGAGAUUUACCUUGCGAUUGUGCUAAGAGAUUCCAUCUUCUUUGUUGAAAUCGGGGUAUAGAAGGAAUCUCGAGGUCAAGGUUGUCGUUUAUUGAAGCCCGAAUCUAUUGGCCACUGUUGAUAGGGGCCGAUCGGUGCUUAGGAGAGGAGAUUAGGGAUUCGGUUAAGGGGAAAUCAAAAAGGGGAUGCUAG
rnacentral:lncRNA from 1 species